rnacentral:rRNA from 1 species
UACAGAGGGUGCAAGCGUUAAUCGGAAUUACUGGGCGUAAAGCGCGCGUAGGCGGCUGAUUAAGUCGGAUGUGAAAUCCCCGGGCUCAACCUGGGAACUGCAUUCGAUACUGAUCGGCUAGAGUAUGAGAGAGGGAGGUAGAAUUCCACGUGUAGCGGUGAAAUGCGUAGAUAUGUGGAGGAACACCGAUGGCGAAGGCAGCCCCCUGGGCUAACACUGACGCUCAGGCACGAAAGCGUGGGGAGCAAACAGG